GCCAACAGUCAGCAAGGAAACAAAAGCCUCAGUCCUAUAACCAUAAAAAGAUGAAUUUUGCCAACAACCUGAGGGAGCUAGAAGGGAUAUUUCCCCAGGUGAGCCUCUGAUGAAUGCAAUGCAACUGACAUCUUAAUUGCAGCCUUGGGAGACUGAGCAGAGGACCCAGCUAAGCCAAUGCCUGCACCUCUGGAACACACAAACUGGAGGCUUCCAUCCAGCCCCACACCUUUACUUCCCUGAGCCUGGGUUCAGCACCUUUCUAUGUGCACACCCCAAAAUCUGGUAUCUAUUUGCAAGAAUUAUUUGUAUUGGAAAAAAGACCUAU